AAGAAUUUAAGUUAAUAUAAACUAUUGACCUUCAAAGUCAAAAUCAGAAAUUUAUUCUAAUUCUUA
rnacentral:tRNA from 1 species